GCGUGAAUGAAGAAGGCCUUCGGGUUGUAAAGUUCUUUCGCCUGUGACGAUAAUGACGGUAGCAGGAAAAGAAGUCCCGGCUAACUCCGUGCCAGCAGCCGCGGUAAUACGGAGGGGACUAGCGUUGCUCGGAAUGACUGGGCGUAAAGGGUGCGUAGGCGGUUCUUUAAGUAAGGCGUGAAAGCCCUGGGCUUAACCCAGGAAGUGCGUUUUAAACUGAAGAGCUAGAGUGUGAGAGAGGAAAGUGGAAUUCCUAGUGUAGAGGUGAAAUUCGC
rnacentral:rRNA from 1 species